UACGAAGGGGACUAGCGUUGUUCGGAAUUACUGGGCGUAAAGCGCACGUAGGCGGCUUACUAAGUCAGGGGUGAAAUCCUGGAGCUCAACUCCAGAACUGCCUUUGAUACUGGUAAGCUCGAGUCCGGGAGAGGUGAGUGGAACUGCGAGUGGUAGAGGUGAAAUUCGUAGAUAUUCGCAAGAACACCAGUGGCGAAGGCGGCAUCCUGGACCAACACUGACACUGAUGAGCGAAAGCCAGGGGAGCAAACGGG
rnacentral:rRNA from 1 species